CCUAAAAGAGUAAAAAACUCAUUUCGCGUCUGCCUCUCUCACUCAAACAGUCAGACUAUACUUCUCUCUCUCUCUCUCUCUCUCUCUCUCUCUCUCUCAGUCUCAGAUCGCGAUUCGACCUCAGCCCCAACCCCGAGUCUCUCCCUCUCCCUCUCUCUGUGACCUCUGUCUUGAUCACGCUUCAACCUCAGUCCCCAGUGUCGGCGUGAACGACCUCUCUCUCUGACCUCUGUCACAAUUUCAUAACGUCGGUGGUCGUCGUCUCUCUCGCUACUUCGCCGGAAGUCGAUGCUCUCUCCGCAAAACCCCAUCGAUCUGGGCUUUUUGGACAUCUGUGGAUUGGAGCACCAUGAGCUGAAGGCCAAGGAUGAGAAUAAUCUCGUCGUCGGUUAGCCAGUCGCCGUCUUUGGGCUCAGCCAUGGCCACAGCUGCGUUGCUCCGAUCUCUACGACGUCAUGACCUCGCUUCAACCCCUCUUUGUGCCUACUAAUCUAGGAAAUGGAAUCGAUAUGGGUGAUGUCAUGGUAUUUGAGUUACCAAGCCUGGGACCUCGCAUAAUAAUCUGUGGCUCUGCAGAUUGAGAAUUCAUUGAUUAUGCUUUUCAGCCUAUGGAGUUGAUGUGUGAAGGGGAUCGAUUUAUGUACCCAGCAAGAGAAUGAGAUACUAUCAAUUGCCCGUGCUCAAAUCGCUGAGGGUUGCUCUGAGAAAAACUAGUUGCAGAGAAAAGCUGCAGAGGAGUUUUGAUACUGUGUUUGCUUUAGAGGCUUGAUGGUAGAGUUGUUGAUGGUCGCGAAAUAUCUGUGCUCAAUUUGCAAAAUAUUAGUGAAUCUGAACAAAAAUAAAGAUUAAAGAGAGAAUGAACUUGAUAUGUGGCUCCAAUGGCCUUUCUUAACUUGGAUUUUAUUUUUUUUGGCUCCAAUGGCCUUGAUUCCUAGUUUCCAGUGUAAUUCGCUGCUAGUGGAAAGAAUGAACUUGAUUUGUGGUUCACAGCCUCGCAUCUAAUAAAGAUCUAUAAUAUAAUUAAAUGAUU